AAGGGCCCAAUGGACAUAGCCCACCAAGCCCAAGCAAGCCUAUUUAUAUUAUCCUGCUCAUUAUUCCAUCAAAGUUACUAAAGUCACAUUUCAUAAUUUCGAACCAAAAUAAUGCUAACCAUUUGCAACUCUUAAGGGCAUACCAAUCCAAAUAUAUACAUACAUUAUCUAAAACAUGUAUCUUAACAAUUUACAUCAGGUUUGUUUAUACAUGUAAAAAAGACACCUCGAUUUUCAGCGGAGAGACUCAGACGAAUGUACAGUUACUGAAGGUCGAGACACCUACCAAGGGUCGAAUAUACGAAGACACCUCGACCUAGUUACCAGCUGCCUCUUGAUCUGAAAACAUGAAGUUGAAAGCGGUGAGUAUAAACCCAGUGAGUGAACAAGGAAAGGAACAAGCAAACAAUAAGGAAGGUUUAAAGAAAAUCAUGAUGCAUUUAUCUUUAAAACAAUGCAAUUUAGUUUAGCUCUUAUCAAAACCCCUCAUGUAAACCCCAAAUGAGUAAAUGACUUGAUAAAACUUUAA
rnacentral:lncRNA from 1 species